UCAAAUGGAGGUGGUUGGUAUGGCCAAU
rnacentral:sRNA from 1 species